GGCAUGUAUGGACAGACUGCUGAAAUGGUGUUAUAUCAAUCAUUUUUUGCAGGAUUGUCGAAAAUAAAUGUUUAAGUUGGGGAGAAUGAAGAAUUAGAAGAGGUUUCAGAUGCAGAUCGUUGUUCUUGUGUGAUUGAUGACAAUGAUAAUGAUUCUUGAUCAGGUGAAUCGAGCAUCAAACCUGACAAAGAUUUGUUCCAGUUCACUCCUCCCAGCAUCCCUAGUGGGCAGAAUCAACACUAGUAGAAGGAAGUCAAGUAGAGCAGCGUUUAAAGACAUUGCAAGGUGCCACAGAAAAGCAGGGAGGGACCACUCUCCAAAUUAUUAUCAAAGAAGGUCCCCUUUAUAUGCGAUAUAAGGAGACUUCUCUGCACAAGAUAUCCUCUCUCUCUCUCUCUCUCUCAUUAUUUAUUUAUUUAGUUUUUGCAUUGUGAAUAAGAUCUCAUUUAAUAUCGCUUUUUGUGUCUGUUACUUUGGUUUUUUUUUUUUUGGUUUAAAUCUUACUUUGCAUAUGGCUUUUCUUUCCAGAAAUAGACUAAGGAUUUACUGAGUUUUGAAUUUUGGUAUAAGUGUUUCACUAUUGCUACAUGAUCAAGUAUUAGUCUUACUCAAUUCGUAUGAAAAUGGAUGUAUCAAUAUUGUUACAUGGAUAAAUGAUACUCGUAAAGACGGUUUGAAAUUGAUAGUUUGUUUGUUCUUGUUAAGCAGUAGGAUCAGUAUUAGAAAUUGAUACAAUUGGAGAAUAUUUUUACAUCAGCCUUGUGGGUUCUUCGUGGCUCUUAAAGAAUCACCAAGUCAAUGAAUUUUGAUACAUAAUGUCACCAGGGAUGAUUGUUUGGUACAGUGUAAAGUUCAGGCUGUAAAGCAUCAGAAUUCAAUUUCUAGUCCAAGGGGUGCUCUUUAUCAAAAUAAUGUCAAAGGUCAGGUAUGUACCCAAUCUACCACUCCUAGAACCUUCCAUUAACAGAUACACAUUUUAUAUUGGUACACUAGCGCAGCAAGGUUGCAGAAAAUAAGGAAGAAUAUCACAGCAAUCGUUCUUUGCUAUGAAGCAUGGAUAUAUUUCGAACACACACACACACACAAAAGAAGAAAUGAUUUUUCUUUCUUUUGCAUCCUACAAGUAAUUAAAUGUCUCUCCAGUUCUAUUUUUUUGUUAGAAUUUUUUUUUCUAUUUAAGUAUGUUUAGACUGAUUGUCCCUAUAUAAGAAAAUAUGAAAUUGUCUUAGCUAACUAGUUUUACCAAAUUGCCAGUAUAAGAUUGGCAAAGAUGGUAUAUGCUAUUUGAUCUGCUUAAUUCCAGACCUUUUUUUAACUAUCUAGUUCUACAUGUGUUAUUGAAGCAUUGAGUCGAUAAAGAUUAGAUACAAUCAUGGGUGGUACGAACAAAUGGCAGAAAAAUGGAUCUUUGUGCAGCAGAUAUUCUCAGCUAAAAACUAUUCAUGAAACCAAAGUACAUAUUGCUGUUCAUAAACUAUGACUCAGACCAAUUCUGAGAAACUUGGUCAUCCGAUCUCAAUUCAUUUUCAGUAAACACAUGUUAGAUUUUUGGCCCUCGUGGCUUCAAAGUUUCCACAACUAUAAAUACAUCCAGAUUUUUAUUGGAUAGAGCACUAAUAGGAAAUGUCAUACUAUCAAAAAUUAUAUUGAAUUUUCUUUUCAAUGAAGUCUUUUUUAUUUGCAUUCCAUAGGGAUUAUGGAUAUUUAUUGUCUUGUAUAAUUAACUCCAAAUUAAAAUGGAGCAAGUUUACAUCAUGUAGUGUUAGUGAAAUGAUCCGGUUGAUACACUGAGAAGUAGAGGAAAAACAAUUUAUUUUAUUUAUUUAUUUGUUUUGUAUCUUAAGAUUAAAACAAGACCAGUAGGCUUCCAAAUCCAAUAGUUGAUUUGAUCAAGGAAACAGGCAGCAGAGGGUUAAUUAAAUCUGAUUUUAUGUGUUUUACAUGGUCUAUUGUUUGAGGGUUAAUCAAAUCAUUGUGUGUGGUUAUGUUCACAGCAGUAUCUUGCCUGCUACUGUUGUUAGUACUAUAUACAUGACAAGCUUGGUAAUUGUGGGUUGUCAAGAAGGCGAAAGGGAAGAAAAACCGGAGGUUUGAUCAUUACUUGAGCAGCACCUCCCCCAAUAUUUGGGCUUGUGGCCUUCUUGUGCAUGAAUUGGUAACAAGAUUUGGUGAAGGUCGUGCAUUGCCUAAAAUCCGAAGUAAGAUACUGAAAGAGGGAAAUUUGAAAAGGGAUGUCUUCUAAAGAAGUUAUGUACAGACAGAUUGCUGAGAUGGUAUUGGAUUAAUCGUUUGUAGCAUGAUUAUCAAAAAUAGAUGUUUAAGUUGGGGAGAAUGAAGAAUUCGAAGAGGUUUCAGAUGCAGUACAUUGUUCUUGUGUGACCGAUGACAAUGGUAAUGAUUCUUGAUCAGGUGAAUCGAGCAUCAAUCCUGACAAGGAUUUGUACCAGUUCACUCUUCCCAGCAUCCCUAGUGGGCAGAAUCAACACUAGAAAAAAAUUGGUUUAGAUCUUAAAGAUUUAAAUUUCUCUUCUCCUCACUAAUUUUCUUGACUGCACAUAAUUUGCAUUCAUAUGCCUUAAAGAUUUUAAGUUUCUCUUCUCCUCGCUAAUUUUUUUGACUGUGCAUAAUUGCAUCCCUGUGUGCUGAAACGUUUACAGUAGAAGGAAGUCAAGUAGAGCAGCAUUUAAAGACAUUGCAAGGUGCCACAGAAAAGCAGCGAGGGACCACUCUCCAAAUUAUUAUCAAAGACUGUCCCCUUUAUAUGCGAUAAGGAGACUUCUCUGCUCAAGAUAUCCUCCCUCUCUCUCUCUCUUAUUUUUUUUUAUUUUUUAUUUUUUAUUUUUUAUUUUUUUAUUUUUUAUUUUUUUUGCUUUUAAAAUCAUACUUUGUAUAUGGCUUUUCUUUCUAGAUAUAGACAAAGGAUUCACUGAGUUUUGAAUUUUGGUAUAAGUAUUCCACUAUUGCUACAUGGUCAAGUGUUAGUCUUACUCAAUUCGUAUGAAAAUUGAUGUAUCAAUAUUGUUACAUGCAUAAAUGAUACUCGUAGAUACAUUUGAAAUUGAUAGUUUGUUCGUUCUUGUUAAGCAAUAGGAUCAGUAUCAGAAAUGGAUACAAUUGGAGAAUAUUUUUACAUCAGACUUGUGGGUUCUUUGUGUCUCUUAAAGAAUCACCAAGUCAAUGAAUUUUGAUACAUAAUGUCACCAGGGAUGAUCAUUUGGUACAAUGUAAAAGUUCAGGCCGUAAAGCAUGAGAAUUCAAUUUCGAGUCCAAGGGAAGCUCUUUAUCAAAAUAAUGUCAAAGGUCAGGUAGUGAUUGGACCAAUUCUUGGGCACUUUCAUCAGUUCAACCCUUUGCAUUUGACAACAAGAUUCUUAAAUCUGAUGGAUUUGAGGGAGAUUUAAAUAUGCUAGUUUUUGGCCUGUUCCGUAAAAUGCUUUGAGUAGGGUGAAUAACAUGCUACAUUUUGAAGGUAAGAUAAAUAAAUGCUGCAUUUCGUACGUACAAAUUUAUUCAUUUACUGUUGCACAAAUUAUGGAUGAU